CAACAAGCACAUUUUCUCUCUAGAGCAACUUGAGUACAACAAAGAAGGGCUGGUCUGGGAUGAUGUCAACUGGAUGGACAAUGGAGAGUGCCUUGAUCUCAUAGAAAAGAAGUUGGGUUUGCUCGCUCUCAUGAAUGAGGAGAGUCAUUUUCCUAAAGGCACUGAUGACACAUUGCUGGAGAAACUCCAUAGCCAGCAUGCUAGGAAUCAGUUCUAUGUUAAGCCUCGUGUUGCAGUUCAUCAGUUUGGAAUCAAGCAUUAUGCAGGAGAGGU